UGAACGAAACGGUCCAAGUCGAAAGAGUGUUGACAAAAAUUCCUCGGUCGAUGGUCGUUCUCAACGUAAAAAUGAUCGAAUUGAAUCGCCGCGAAUCUUCGGAUUUGAUAAAUUUACUUUCUGCUUUGAAAUAUAUGCGACGAAUUUAUUCAUUCGUUUCCUUACGUGUGACGUACGCACAUUCCUGGAAACGACAAAAACUACUUGAAGAAGCUCUGAAAACCACGGAAACGAAGCUCAACGUUGCGACACAUUUCUUUGACUUCCUGGAUUCGAACGCUACCUUGUUCGUGAAAAUUCUGUCAACACGCGCGAUAAUGUUUAUCAUGCGAUCCGCUCGAAUACUAAUUUGGAAGGGAAAUAAUUUGACAAUAUUCCGAAUUUAAAAUCGCGAUGCAACGAUCACCUUCGAUGAUUAGAUUAAGAGCACGUUCAUCGUAUUUACGUUUUUUCGGUAAUCAAAGGUGGGGCAAGUUAAUGGGCAGUUAAAGUUCGAGAAAAAUGGAACGAAACAUCUCAGUUUUAAUUGUGCAGGGGUCGAAUCCGUUGAGACUUUUCCAGGCGACUUAACUUUUUUGAACUCUCCGGUAACUCUCCUGAUCGAUAAAUCGACGAUAAAAAAAGUCAUGAUCGACCUUGCUGUAGAGAAAAAAUGGGGUGAGAGCAGAUUAUUAGACGCGACGAAUUUUCUUGCUUUCCUGCUCUUGAGUUACGUCUUGUGGACAAUACUGCGAUGGUGGCAUACAAAGAAAAAGUAUUGGAAAUAUUUUGACGAUAUUCCUGGACCACUCGGCUUACCAUUGAUCGGUAAUAUCGUCGAACUGAACGUUGAUCAUGACGAGCUCUACCAGCGACUUUUUGGCCUGAUAAUGCUGUGGGGGUACCGGGAAGGGAUAAACAAAGCAUGGGGCGGCUGGACUCCCUACGUAUUUCUGAGUAAAGCCGAAACCGUUGAAGCCGUUUUGAACAACAGUCGUCACAUCGAUAAAAGUUCAGAUUACAAAUUUUUGCAUCCAUGGUUGGGUACAGGACUCUUGACAUCUUCUGGAAAAAAGUGGUACCAUCGACGAAAGAUCCUAACCCCGAGCUUCCACUUCAGUAUUUUGGACGAUUUUCUCGAUGUUUUUUGCGAACAAACGGAGACGUUAAUCGAGAGACUGUCUUCGGAGGUCGAUCAAGGUGCUUUCAACAUUUUCCCGUACGUGACGCUGUGUACACUUGACAUAAUCUGCGAAACAGCAAUGGGACGACCAAUUCACGCACAAAAACACAGCGAUAGCGAAUACGUUCGAGCUGUUUACGAAAUCGGAAACAUAAUUCACACGAGACAAGCGAUAUUUUUGUAUCGUCCCGACUGCUUGUUCCGUUUGACAUCCCUCUACAAAAGACAUCAAGAGUGCGUUAAGGUUCUGCACAACUUUUCCUACAAGGUCAUUGCUGAGAGACGAGUGGAAAUAGAAAGGGAAAAAACAAACUUGCACGCGGACGGUCAAUUAGUGGAUGAAGCAACGGGCACGAAAAAUCGUCUUGCAUUUUUGGAUCUUCUAAUUGAGGCGUCAAAAAAUGGUACGGUAUUGUCGAACGAUGACAUACGAGAGGAAGUUGACACUUUCAUGUUCGAGGGUCACGAUACGACGUCGUCCGCAGUUUCUUGGACGCUAUAUCUGCUCGGAUGUCACCCGGAAUAUCAGGAAAAAAUCGUCGAAGAGCUCGAUGAAAUUUUCGAGGGCGAUCGUGAGCGUCGUCCCACCAUGAGAGACUUGAAAAACAUGAAAUAUCUCGAAAAAUGUAUCAAAGAAGCUCUGCGUUUGUAUCCCAGUGUUCCUUUCAUUGCGCGGAGAAUCUCCGAGCGAGUGAAAAUAGGUUAUUAUUUUAUGUCUCCGAUUUAUGCCCGAAAAUAGCUCGGACAUAACCUCCAAAAUAUCCUCGCAGUAUUAUUGCUUGCCACUUUGUAAACACGUAGUGCCUGAAGGAACGACCGCCAUAAUAACCGUGCCAAUUUUGCAUCGGGAUGCCAAAGUUUAUCGGAAUCCCGACAAAUUUGAUCCCGAGCGUUUUUCACCAGAAAACUCAACGGGGCGCCACCC
rnacentral:misc_RNA from 1 species